AGUGAACGCUGGCGGUAGGCCUAACACAUGCAAGUCGAACGGCAGCACAGUAAGAGCUUGCUCUUACGGGUGGCGAGUGGCGGACGGGUGAGGAAUACAUCGGAAUCUACUUUUUCGUGGGGGAUAGCGUAGGGAAACUUACGCUAAUACCGCAUACGACCUACGGGUGAAAGCAGGGGAUCUUCGGACCUUGCGCGAUUGAAUGAGCCGAUGUCGGAUUAGCUAGUUGGCGGGGUAAAGGCCCACCAAGGCGACGAUCCGUAGCUGGUCUGAGAGGAUGAUCAGCCACACUGGAACUGAGACACGGUCCAGACUCCUACGGGAGGCAGCAGUGGGGAAUAUUGGACAAUGGGGGCGAGCCUGAUCCAGCCAUACCGCGUGGGUGAAGAAGGCCUUCGGGUUGUAAAGCCCUUUUGUUGGGAAAGAAAAGCAGCAGGUUAAUACCCCGCUGUUCUGACGGUACCCAAAGAAUAAGCACCGGCUAACUUCGUG
rnacentral:rRNA from 1 species